ACUCCUACGGGAGGCAGCAGUGGGGAAUAUUGCACAAUGGGGGAAACCCUGAUGCAGCCAUGCCGCGUGUGUGAAGAAGGCCUUCGGGUUGUAAAGCACUUUCAGUAGGGAGGAAGGUAGUGUAGUUAACACCUGCAUUAUUUGACGUUACCUACAGAAGAAGCACCGGCUAACUCCGUGCCAGCAGCCGCGGUAAUACGGAGGGUGCGAGCGUUAAUCGGAAUUACUGGGCGUAAAGCGCAUGCAGGCGGCCUGUUAAGUCAGAUGUGAAAGCCCGGGGCUUAACCUCGGAAUUGCAUUUGAAACUGGCAGGCUAGAGUCUUGUAGAGGGGGGUAGAAUUUCAGGUGUAGCGGUGAAAUGCGUAGAGAUCUGAAGGAAUACCAGUGGCGAAGGCGGCCCCCUGGACAAAGACUGACGCUCAGAUAGCGAAAGCGUGGGGAGCAAAACAGGAUUAGAUACCCUGGUAGCUUCGAC
rnacentral:rRNA from 1 species